rnacentral:rRNA from 1 species
AUUGAACGCUGGCGGCAGGCCUCACACCUGCCAGUCGAGCGCAGCGGCGAACGGGUGAGUCCUGCCUAGGGCUCUGCCUGGUAGUGGGGGAUACCGUCCGGCACCGUGCGCCAAUCCCGCAUACUAUCAGAUGAGACUCGGUCGGCUGAGCUAGUUGGUGGGGUAAAGGCCUACCAAGGCGACGAGCCUUAACUGGUCUGAGAGUAUGAUCAGUCACACUGGAACUGAGACACGGUCCAGACUCCUACGGGAGGCAGCAGGGGGGAAGAGUUGACAAUGGGCGAAAGCCUGACCCAGCCAUGCCGCGUGUGGGAAGAAGGUCUGCGGAUUGUAAAUCACUGUAAGUGGGGAGGCGUUACCAACAGAAUAAGCACCGGCUAACUUCGUGCCAGCCGCCGCGGUAAUAC